UACGUAGGGGGCAAGCGUUGUCCGGAAUUAUUGGGCGUAAAGAGCGUGUAGGCGGCCAGAUAAGUCCGCUGUGAAAACUCGAGCUCAACCUCGAGACGCCGAUGGAAACCCCCCUAACUAGAGUCCGGAAGAGGAGAGUGGAAAUUCCUGGUGUAGCGGUGAAAUGCGCAGAUAUCAGGAAGAACACCCGUGGCUAAGGCGGCUCUCUAGUACGGUACUGACGCUGAGACGCGAAAGCGUGGGGAGCGAACAGG
rnacentral:rRNA from 1 species